rnacentral:rRNA from 1 species
UCGAGAAUUUUUCACAAUGGGCGCAAGCCUGAUGGAGCGACGCCGCGUGGGGGAUGAAUGGCUUCGGCCCGUAAACCCCUGUCAUUUGCGAUCAACCGUUAUUGUUUAAGAGAUGAUAACCUGAUAGUAGCGAAAGAGGAAGGGACGGCUAACUCUGUGCCAGCAGCCGCGGUAAUACAGAGGUCCCAAGCGUUGUUCGGAUUCACUGGGCGUAAAGGGUGCGUAGGUGGCGGGGUAAGUCGGAUGUGAAAUCUCCGAGCUCAACUCGGAAAUUGCAUUGGAAACUGCUCUGCUAGAGGAUUGGAGGGGGGACUGGAAUACUUGGUGUAGCAGUGAAAUGCGUAGAUAUCAAGUGGAACACCAGUGGCGAAGGCGAGUCCCUGGACAACUCCUGACACUG